rnacentral:rRNA from 1 species
CCUACGGGGUGCAGCAGUGAGGAAUAUUGGUCAAUGGGCGAGAGCCUGAACCAGCCAAGUCGCGUGAAGGAUGACGGCCCUACGGGUUGUAAACUUCUUUUGUCAGGGAGCAAUUGAGUCCACGUGUGGUCUUAGCGAGAGUACCUGAAGAAAAAGCAUCGGCUAACUCCGUGCCAGCAGCCGCGGUAAUACGGAGGAUGCGAGCGUUAUCCGGAUUUAUUGGGUUUAAAGGGUGCGUAGGCGGAAUAUCAAGUCAGCGGUAAAAAUUCGGGGCUCAACCCCGGGACUGCUCUGGAAACUAUUGAACUUGAGUGCAGGAGAGGUAAGCGGAAUGCCUAGUGUAGCGGUGAAAUGCGUAGAUAUUAGGAGGAACACCAGUGGCGAAGGCGGCUUACUGGACUGUAACUGACGUUGAGGCUCGAAAGCGUGGGGAGCAAACAGGAUUAGAUACCCUUGUAGUC